AUUGAACGCUGGCGGCAUGCCUUACACAUGCAAGUCGAACGGCAGCGGACCUUCGGGUGCCGGCGAGUGGCGAACGGGUGAGUAAUAUAUCGGAACGUACCUUUCGGAUGGGGGAUAACGUAGCGAAAGUUACGCUAAUACCGCAUAUUCUGUGAGCAGGAAAGCAGGGCAUCGCAAGACCUUGCGCUGAUUGAGCGGCCGAUAUCAGAUUAGCUAGUUGGUGAGGUAAAGGCUCACCAAGGCGACGAUCUGUAGCGGGUCUGAGAGGAUGAUCCGCCACACUGGAACUGAGACACGGUCCAGACUCCUACGGGAGGCAGCAGUGGGGAAUUUUGGACAAUGGGCGCAAGCCUGAUCCAGCCAUGCCACGUGAGUGAAGAAGGCCU
rnacentral:rRNA from 1 species